rnacentral:sRNA from 1 species
UGAGAAGCUUCGACCAAGGUUCGACUCGAGCGCCAGCGAGAGAGCGUUGCCGCAGGCAACGACCCGAAGGGCGAAGCGCGCAGCGCUGAGUAAUCCUUCCCCCACCACCA